CACUUAGAUGUUCUGGGCAGCACGCGCGCUACAAUGGUCUUCGCAAACGGAUGCAUUCUCGAAGGAGAAUGCCAAUCUUGGAAUCUAUGCCUUGGUCGGGACAGUUGCUUGCAAUUUUUCGACUCGAACCAGGAAUUCCUUGUAAUCGUGAUUCAUCACAUCACGAUGAAUACGUCCCUGCCCUUUGUACACACCGCCCGUCGCUCCUACCGAUCGAAGAGUUAGGUGAAUUGUUUUGAUCGAUAAGAUUUGACUAUGGUCAACUCUCGUUGUGAAAUUCUGUGAAUCUGACUGUUUAGAGGAAGGAAAAGUCGUAACA
rnacentral:rRNA from 1 species